GUUUGAUCCUGGCUCAGGACGAACGCUGGCUGCGUGCCUAAUACAUGCAAGUGGGACGCAAGGGAACACACUGUGCUUGCACACCGUGUUUUCUUGAGUCGCGAACGGGUGAGUAACGCGUAGGUAACCUGCCUAUUAGCGGGGGAUAACUAUUGGAAACGAUAGCUAAUACCGCAUAAUAUUAAUUAUUGCAUGAUAAUUGAUUGAAAGAUGCAAGCGCAUCACUAGUAGAUGGACCUGCGUUGUAUUAGCUAGUUGGUAAGGUAAGAGCUUACCAAGGCGACGAUACAUAGCCGACCUGAGAGGGUGAUCGGCCACACUGGGACUGAGACACGGCCCAGACUCCUACGGGAGGCAGCAGUAGGGAAUCUUCGGCAAUGGACGAAAGUCUGACCGAGCAACGCCGCGUGAGUGAAGAAGGUUUUCGGAUCGUAAAGCUCUGUUGUAAGUCAAGAACGUGUGUGAGAGUGGAAAGUUCACACAGUGACGGUAGCUUACCAGAAAGGGACGGCUAACUACGUGCCAGCAGCCGCGGUAAUACGUAGGUCCCGAGCGUUGUCCGGAUUUAUUGGGCGUAAAGGGAGCGCAGGCGGUCAGGAAAGUCUGGAGUAAAAGGCUAUGGCUCAACCAUAGUGUGCUCUGGAAACUGUCUGACUUGCGUGCAGAAGGGGAGAGUGGAAUUCCAUGUGUAGCGGUGAAAUGCGUAGAUAUAUGGAGGAACACCAGUGGCGAAAGCGGCUCCCUGGUCUGUCACUGACGCUGAGGCUCGAAAGCGUGGGUAGCGAACAGGAUUAGAUACCCUGGUAGUCCACGCCGUGAACGAUGAGUGCUAGGUGUUAGGCCCUUUCCGGGGCUUAGUGCCGGAGCUAACGCAAUAAGCACUCCGCCUGGGGAGUACGACCGCAAGGUUGAAACUCAAAGGAAUUGACG
rnacentral:rRNA from 1 species